GUGUUGUACGAAAGGAGAGAAGGUUAGCACUCACCUUGAAAAGGACUGAUAACAUACAUACUGUCAAGGCACAGUAUUACCCACACUACUAAUAACUGAUACUA